UACGGAGGGUGCGAGCGUUGUCCGGAAUCACUGGGCGUAAAGGGCGCGUAGGCGGCCUGAUAAGUAGGGGGUGAAAUCCUGCGGCUUAACCGCAGGGCUGCCUUCUAAACUGUCAGGCUAGAGCACAGUAGAGGCAGGUGGAAUUCCCGGUGUAGCGGUGGAAUGCGUAGAGAUCGGGAAGAACACCAAUGGCGAAGGCAGUCCGCUGGGCCGUUGCUGACGCUGAGGCGCGACAGCGUGGGGAGCAAACAGG
rnacentral:rRNA from 1 species